rnacentral:rRNA from 1 species
AGAGUUUGAUCCUGGCUCAGGAUGAACGCUGGCGGCGUGCUUAACACAUGCAAGUCGAACGGAACUGUCAUUUUUGAAGCAAUUAGCUUGCUAAGGGUGGAAAUGUUGGCAGUUUAGUGGCGGACGGGUGAGUAACGCGUGGGUAACCUGCCUUACACAGGGGGAUAACACCUGGAAACAGGUGCUAAUACCGCAUAACAGGAAGAGGCGCAUGCCACUUUCUUGAAAACUCCGGUGGUGUAAGAUGGACCCGCGUCUGAUUAGCUGGUUGGCGGGGUAACGGCCCACCAAGGCGACGAUCAGUAGCCGGCCUGAGAGGGUGGACGGCCACAUUGGGACUGAGACACGGCCCAAACUCCUACGGGAGGCAGCAGUGGGGAAUAUUGGACAAUGGGGGGAACCCUGAUCCAGCGACGCCGCGUGAGUGAAGAAGUAUUUCGGUAUGUAAAGCUCUAUCAGCAGGGAAGAAAGAAAUGACGGUACCUGACUAAGAAGCCCCGGCUAACUACGUGCCAGCAGCCGCGGUAAUACGUAGGGGGCAAGCGUUAUCCGGAUUUACUGGGUGUAAAGGGAGCGUAGACGGUGAUGCAAGUCUGAAGUGAAAGGCGGGGGCUCAACCCCCGGACUGCUUUGGAAACUGUAUGACUGGAGUGCAGGAGAGGUAAGUGGAAUUCCUAGUGUAGCGGUGAAAUGCGUAGAUAUUAGGAGGAACACCAGUGGCGAAGGCGGCUUACUGGACUGUAGCUGACGUUGAGGCUCGAAAGCGUGGGGAGCAAACAGGAUUAGAUACCCUGGUAGUCCACGCCGUAAACAAUGAUCACUAAGUGUCGGUGGGUAUGGACCCAUCGGUGCCCCCCCCAAACGCAGUAAGUGAAUCCACCUGGGGGGAACGUUCGCAAGAAUGAAACUCAAAGAAAUUGACGGGGGACCCGCACAAGCGGGUGGAGCAAGUGGUUUAAUUUCGAAGCAACGCGAAAGAACCUUACCAGGUCUUGACAUCCUCCUGAAUGAAGGGUAAUGCCUUCAGGCCUUCGGGACAGGAGAGACAGCUGGUGCAUGGUUGUCGUCAGCUCGUGUCGUGAGAUGUUGGGUUAAGUCCCGCAACGAGCGCAACCCCUAUCCUUAGUAGCCAGCAGGUAAAGCUGGGCACUCUAGGGAGACUGCCGGGGAUAACCCGGAGGAAGGUGGGGGUGACGUCAAAUCAUGAUGCCCCUUAUGAUCUGGGCUACACACGUGCUACAAUGGCGUAAACAAAGGGAAGCGAGGCGGCGACGUUAAGCAAAUCCCAGAAAUAACGUCCCAGUUCGGAUUGUAGUCUGCAACCCGGCUACAUGAAGCUGGAAUCGCUAGUAAUCGCGGAUCAGAAUGCCGCGGUGAAUACGUUCCCGGGUCUUGCACUCACCGCCCGUCA